ACGGGGCCGCACAAGCGGUGGAGCAUGUGGUUAAUUCGAAGCAACGCGAAGAACCUUACCAGGUCUUGACAUCCCGAUGCUAUUCUAGAGAUAGAAAGUUACUUCGGUACAUCGGUGACAGGUGGUGCAUGGUUGUCGUCAGCUCGUGUCGUGAGAUGUUGGGUUAAGUCCCGCAACGAGCGCAACCCCUAUUGUUAGUUGCCAUCAUUCAGUUGGGCACUCUAGCGAGACUGCCGGUAAUAAACCGGAGGAAGGUGGGGAUGACGUCAAAUCAUCAUGCCCCUUAUGACCUGGGCUACACACGUGCUACAAUGGUUGGUACAACGAGUUGCGAGUCGGUGACGGCGAGCUAAUCUCUUAAAGCCAAUCUCAGUUCGGAUUGUAGGCUGCAACUCGCCUACAUGAAGUCGGAAUCGCUAGUAAUCGCGGAUCAGCACGCCGCGGUGAAUACGUUCCCGGGCCUU
rnacentral:rRNA from 1 species